rnacentral:rRNA from 1 species
UACGAAGGGGGCUAGCGUUGUUCGGAUUUACUGGGCGUAAAGCGCACGUAGGCGGAUCUUUAAGUCAGAGGUGAAAUCCCAAGGCUCAACCUUGGAACUGCCUUUGAUACUGGGGAUCUCGAGUCCGGGAGAGGUGAGUGGAACUGCGAGUGUAGAGGUGAAAUUCGUAGAUAUUCGCAAGAACACCAGUGGCGAAGGCGGCUCACUGGCCCGGUACUGACGCUGAGGUGCGAAAGCGUGGGGAGCGAACAGG